rnacentral:rRNA from 1 species
GACGCCCUUAAUCUAGCCCUAACCUAUCGUCUCUAACCUAAAUUUCCCACCAUAAACUAAAACAUUCUAAAUCUCAAGUAAAUGCGAUUGAAAAAGAACUAGGAGCUUUAUCUAACAGUACCGCAAGGGAAAGAUGAAAUAGAAAUUAAAUAAAUAAUCAAGCAUUAAAAAGCAGAGACUUUAACUCGUACCUUUUGCAUUAUGGUCUAACUAGUCUAACCAGGCAAAAAGAUUUUUAGUCUGGCCCCCCGAAACUAAGUGAGCUACUCCGAGGCAACCUUAGAGUAAACCCGUCUCUGUAGCAAAAGAGUGGGACGACCUCCGAGUAGAGGUGACAUACUUAUCGAACUUAGUGAUAGCUGGUUACUCAAGAAACGAAUUUUAGUUCUAUCUUAAGGGCACUUUAACUUACCUUAACUGUAAGUAAACCCAAUCCCCUAAGACCUAUUCAAUUAGGGUACAGCCUUAUUGAAAAAGGACACAACCUAAAACUCAGGUUAACGUUUCUAUAGACCUAGAGCAAGUUGGCCUAAAAGCAGCCACCUUUAAAAUAGCGUCAAAGCUUUCUCUACUGUCUCCUCUAAUUCCUACCUCAUUACCGAACCCGAUAUCAAUAUUGAGUCUUUCUAUACCUCUAUAGAAGUGAUUAUGUUAGAACUAGUAACACAGAACCAUUUCUCUCUAUGUAAGUGUAAAUCAGAUCGAAUAAAUCACUGAUAUUUACUCAGUAGUGAAACUAUUGUAGCAACUUCACUAGAAAACCCUACAACUUCAUCCUGUUAACCUACCACAAGAACAUCAGAGAAAGAUUAAAAGACAAGGAAGGAAUUCGGCAAAUUUAAGUCUCGCCUGUUUACCAAAAACAUCGCCUUUUGCACACUAUAUCAGGUAAUGCCUGCCCAGUGACCAUGUGUUCAACGGCCGCGGUAUUCUGACCGCGCGAAGGUAGCGUAAUCACUUGUUUUCUAAAUAAAGACCAGUAUGAACGGCCACACGAGGACUUAACUGUCUCCCCUGUCCAAUCAGUGAAACUGAUCUCCUCGUGCAGAAGCGAGGAUGAACCCAUAAGACGAGAAGACCCUAUGGAGCUUUAAACUUAAUAUCAACUACCCCUUUGUCCUCCUCUAAGGAACUAACAGACCCCCUGAACUUGAUAUAAGUUUUAGGUUGGGGCGACCAUGGAGAAAAAAAUAACCUCCCUGAUGAUUUUUAACCAAGAGCCACAACUCUAAGUAUUAAGACUCUUAACUCCCAUUGACCCAUCUGAUGAUCAACGAACCAAGUUACCCUAGGGAUAACAGCGCAAUCCAUUUCAAGAGUCCCUAUCGACAAAUGGGUUUACGACCUCGAUGUUGGAUCAGGGCAUCCCAG